AAAAAUAAAAUAUAGAUAUUUUUUUUUACGAAAACUGGAAAACUGUUUAAGACAAAGUUGAGAACUAAUGAAUUUGCAUCACUAUAUGCAACUAAUAAAUUGAUUGCUCCCGUGCUCUAGUGGCAAAUAUAUCACGCAUAUUUACGACGAGGCGAAAGUGGAUCUGAAUAAAUGAUUGAUACAUUAUUAAGAUAAAGGGUUUGCUAGCGGUAAAACGUAUGCCGUACUAGAAUAAAGUUGAAUAAUGAUCAAAAUCUUGAGUUAAGCUAUUAGCCCCCCUCCCCCUCCCCCCCCAAUUUUGGAUUAUGAUAUUUCGAUGGCUGUUUUUUUUUCUAUCCUAUUAUGGAACCGCUGGUUUUAAGAGGGGGUUGGUAAUAAGUCAAGACUUACAUCAAGACUUACACCGGUUUUUUUUGUUUGUUAAAUUAUAUUUAUUUCCUCAUACAUAAGUAAACACUAAAAUCGUCAGAUAUUUUUUACUUGUAUGUCAGUGUAUAUAUUACAAUGUUUUCCUAUUUCAUUUUUUUAUUACGGUGUCGUUUUUCAUUUAAAGAGCUUCUGUAUAUUAGCACUUCAACGCAAAGCUAGAUGCUAGAUGCAAUGAUACAUGUUAGUUUAUGUAGUAUUUUAUUUUUCUCAAGAGACCAAUUUUUUUAAUCUUUCUCAAGUCAAAUUAAACUUUGAGUUUUCUAUCCUGAAUGACAAAAUCUCGGAUAAGUUUGAUAAAGAAUUAAUUACAAUUUGUGUUGCAUUCUAAUGAAAAAAUAAAUUAUUACGCAUUUGUUCUCGUUGUUCUCUACUGUACUGUAUAUUCAAGAUAAUGUUAGUAAAACGGAAACUUAAGUGAGUAUGGUCUAUAAUUAUAAAGAUAAUUACAGUUCUUUUAUAAUGGACCAAGCUUAAGAGGACAACAUCUUUUAAGAUUUGACUUCUAUUUCUGUUAAUAUUCUGUAUGAGUUUUCUGCCGAUUCCCGCCG
rnacentral:lncRNA from 1 species